GCCCUCUCAGGAUUGCACCUGGAGAGUUUCUAGUACUCUACCAGUCUUGACUGUAGGAGGAAGAGUGAAGCAGAGGCAUACUCAUUCCAUUCCUAGCUUGGGCAGUGGCUAGCAAGUGGAAGGCAAUCUGCUACAAGU